CCUACGGGAGGCAGCAGUGGGGAAUAUUGCACAAUGGGCGCAAGCCUGAUGCAGCAACGCCGCGUGAGGGACGAAGGCCUUCGGGUUGUAAACCUCUUUUAGCAGGGAAGAAGCGAAAGUGACGGUACCUGCAGAAAAAGCGCCGGCUAACUACGUGCCAGCAGCCGCGGUAAUACGUAGGGCGCAAGCGUUGUCCGGAAUUAUUGGGCGUAAAGAGCUCGUAGGCGGUUUGUCGCGUCUGCUGUGAAAAUCCGAGGCUCAACCUCGGACCUGCAGUGGGUACGGGCAAACUAGAGUGCGGUAGGGGAGAUUGGAAUUCCUGGUGUAGCGGUGGAAUGCGCAGAUAUCAGGAGGAACACCAAUGGCGAAGGCAGAUCUCUGGGCCGUAACUGACGCUGAGGAGCGAAAGCGUGGGGAGCGAACAGGAUUAGAUACCCUGGUAG
rnacentral:rRNA from 1 species